ACAGCAGUAGCCACGGUAAUACAGAGGGUGCGAGCGUUAAUCGGAUUUACUGGGCGUAAAGCGUGCGUAGGCGGCUUUUUAAGUCGGAUGUGAAAUCCCUGAGCUUAACUUAGGAAUUGCAUUCGAUACUGGGAAGCUAGAGUAUGGGAGAGGAUGGUAGAAUUCCAGGUGUAGCGGUGAAAUGCGUAGAGAUCUGGAGGAAUACCGAUGGCGAAGGCAGCCAUCUGGCCUAAUACUGACGCUGAGGUACGAAAGCAUGGGGAGCAAACAGGAUUAGAUACCCCGGUAGUCCCUGUCUCUUAUAU
rnacentral:rRNA from 1 species